rnacentral:rRNA from 1 species
GACGAACGCUGGCGGCGUGCUUAACACAUGCCAGUCGAACGGUAAGGCUCCAGCUUGCUGGGGUACACGAGUGGCGAACGGGUGAGUAACACGUGGGUGACCUGCCCUGCACUUCGGGAUAAGCCUGGGAAACUGGGUCUAAUACCGGUUAGGACCGCACCGUGAGGGUGUGGUGGAAAGUUUUUUCGGUGUGGGAUGGGCCCGCGGCCUAUCAGCUUGUUGGUGGGGUAAUGGCCUACCAAGGCGGCGACGGGUAGCCGGCCUGAGAGGGUGGACGGCCACAUUGGGACUGAGACACGGCCCAGACUCCUACGGGAGGCAGCAGUGGGGAAUAUUGCACAAUGGGCGGAAGCCUGAUGCAGCGACGCCGCGUGGGGGAUGACGGCCUUCGGGUUGUAAACUCCUUUCACCAUCGACGAAGGGUUUCUGACGGUAGAUGGAGAAGAAGCACCGGCUAACUACGUG